GAGGUUGUGGCUCAGUGGUAGAGCACUCACCUAGGGCUUGUGAGGCACUGGGUUCAAUCCUCAGAACCACA
rnacentral:tRNA from 1 species